rnacentral:rRNA from 1 species
UACAGAGGUCCCAAGCGUUGUUCGGAUUCACUGGGCGUAAAGGGUGCGUAGGUGGCCAGGUAAGUCUGAUGUGAAAUCUCGGAGCUCAACUCCGAAACUGCAUUGGAUACUAUCUGGCUGGAGGGUCGGAGGGGGGACUGGAAUUCUCGGUGCAGCAGUGAAAUGCGUAGAUAUCGAGAGGAACACCAGUGGCGAAGGCGAGUCCCUGGACGACUCCUGACACUGAGGCACGAAGGCCAGGGGAGCAAACGGG